UUGUUGGUAAGGUAAAAGCUUACCAAGGCUUCGAUCAGUAGCUGGUCUGAGAGGACGACCAGCCACACUGGGACUGAGACACGGCCCAGACUCCUACGGGAGGCAGCAGUGGGGAAUUUUGGACAAUGGGGGCAACCCUGAUCCAGCCAUGCCGCGUGAGUGAAGAAGGCRUUCGGGUUGUAAAGCUCUUUCAGCCGGAACGAAACGGUUACGGUUAAUACCCGUGACUACUGACGGUACCGGAAGAAGAAGCACCGGCUAACUACGUGCCAGCAGCCGCGGUAAUACGUAGGGUGCGAGCGUUAAUCGGAAUUACUGGGCGUAAAGCGUGCGCAGGUGGUUUUGUAAGUCAGAUGUGAAAGCCCCGGGCUCAACCUGGGAACUGCGUUUGAAACUACAAGACUAGAGUGUGGCAGAGGGGGGUGGAAUUCCGCGUGUAGCAGCGAAAUGCGUAGAGAUGUGGAGGAACACCGAUGGCGAAGGCAGCCCCCUGGGUCAACACUGACGCUCAGGCACGAAAGCAUGGGGAGCAAACAGGAUUAGAUACCCUGGUAGUCCAUGCCCUAAACGAUGUCAACUAGUUGUCGGGCCUUUACGGGCUUGGUAACGUAGCUAACGCGUGAAGUUGACCGCCUGGGGAGUACGAUCGCAAGAUUAAAACUCAAAUGAAUUGACGGGGACCCGCACAAGCGGUGGAUUAUGUGGAUUAAUUCGAUGCAACGCGAAAAACCUUACCUACCCUUGACAUGUAUCGAAGCCCGCAGAAAAGCGGGGGUGCCCGAAAGGGAACGAUAACACAGGUGCUGCAUGGCUGUCGUCAGCUCGUGUCGUGAGAUGUUGGGUUAAGUCCCGCAACGAGCGCAACCCUUGUCAUUAAUUGCCAUCAUUUAGUUGGGCACUUUAAUGAGACUGCCGG
rnacentral:rRNA from 1 species